UUAACCGUGACAGCCGUUUUAAUUUUCUGAUGUGCAUGACACCUCGUGUGUACCAUAUGAAAUUUUUAUGCAGACCAUAUAUACAGUCAUGCCUCGCCAUAGUAAGCCAAGGCAGAGGCAACUGGUUUAAAAUUAUGAAGCAGGAUUCUUGACCACACAGUCCAGCGUAUUUGCGAACGUCUUGAAAAGACGAACACAGAAGGCUGUUAUUGCUUCCAUGGUUAUGUCACUCUGCGUAGUUCUUGGCUAGUGCCUUGGCUAUCUUGCGCCUUUGCGAUGACGGUGGAGUAACUCAACCGAGAAGACCCUCAUCACCACCCCCGUCCUGUGUAGAACGAUACUGCGCCUUUCGUGGUAUCACCAUCCCCAUUUUGCGUACUUCGUGGCCCGAGAUUUGGGAUUGCGAAUCACCCGGCCUAGUGCCUAGCCUCUGCUCCAGACAGAGUUCGAAAUUAUUCGAAUUGUUCCAAAUAAAUAUUUCACUAAUAUAAUUGUCUGAAUAAAUUCUUGUCUGUCGAAUA